rnacentral:rRNA from 1 species
GCGGUACUCUGACCGUGCAAAGGUAGCAUAAUCAUUUGCCUUAUAAUUGAAGGCUAGUAUGAAUGGUUUGACGAGAAUUAAGCUGUCUCUUUCCAAUUAAAUAUAACUUUAUUAGCAGGUGAAGAAGCCUGUAUUUUAUUGAAAGACAAGAAGACCCUAUCGAGCUUUAAGAAAAUUAACAGAUUUACUACAUAUUCAUAUAAGUGUAAAACUGCUAAAAACUUUGGUUGGGGCGACUGAGGAACAAAUAAAGCUUCCUUUAUAACCAUAUACUUUCAAGUAUUGAUCCAAUAAAUUUGAUUAAAGGAAUUAGUUACCGUAGGGAUAACAGCAUAAUCUUCUUUGAGAGCUCUCAUCGAAAAGAGGGUUUGUGACCUCGAUGUUGGACCAGAAUACCCAGAAGAUGCAGUCGUCUUCAAUGGUUGGUCUGUUCGACCAUUAAAAUUCU